rnacentral:rRNA from 1 species
CAUGAUUUCUGGAAUGAUUCAUGGCUCAAACCUACAUGGCCCCUGGAUUGGACUGCGGCCGAUCAGGCUGUUGGUGAGGUAAUGGCCCACCAAACCUGUUACCGGUACGGGCUCUGAGAGGAGGAGCCCGGAGAUGGGCACUGAGACAAGGGCCCAGGCCCUAUGGGGCGCAGCAGGCGCGAAACCUCUGCAAUAGGCGAAAGCCUGACAGGGUUACUCUGAGUGAUUUCCGCUAAGGGAAUCUUUUGGCCCCUCUAAAAUCGGCGCAGAAUAAGGGGUGGGCAAGUCUGGUGUCAGCCGCCGCGGUAAUACCGCACCCCGAGUGUUCGGGACGAUUAUUGGGCCUAAAGCAUCCGUACCGGUCCACAAGUCUUCCGUUAAAUCCAGUGGUUAACAAAUGGCCGCGGGAAAACUCACGGCUAGGAGGCGGAAAGGCAGCCGAUCUUAUGGGGAGGGUGAAAUCCCGUGAUCC